rnacentral:lncRNA from 1 species
CAUACACCUUAGGAAGACCCAACACCUAUUUAUAUAAUUUCUUUGCGAAUGUUUUUAUUUUAUCCGCUGGUGGGAUCAGCAUUGAACCUUCAUAAACUCUUGGUUGAGAGUAGAAAAACUAAAUCUCUAGUUCUAUAUCCAUAGAAAAGCAAUUAAAUUUGAGGUAGGAUUACUGUCCUCUUAAAAUGUUGAGGGAUCAUAUGGGUAGCAAAUAUCAUAGU